AAUGUGCUAAAUUAAUAUCUUUAAAACCAACAAAACUUGAAGCUUUUCUUCUAAAAGUAACAAACUAAUCUUCUUUUUUGCUAUUUGGAGGAAAAAUAUGGCUCAAAUUCUCACAUUAUUUUAUCUUUGGAUCGUUUUUUCUUCAUCCAUAGUUAUUAAUGUAACCGGUGGACGAAAGCAUGACUUGGAACUUAUUGGAUCUUUCACUCCUUGUCGAUCAUUCAAAGAUUGUCCAGAAGAUACGUGCUUGCCUCCACGAAAACGACAUUGCUUAUCGGGUUUUUGUGAAUGUCGUUAAGCAUAACAAUCAUGUUGAGAAAUAUUUGAAUAUUUCUUAUAAUGUGUUAUUUUAAUUUCUUUUUUCAUAUCAUAAUAACGCAAAUAAUGUUGUUAAAUUAACUAUAAAAAUUAGAAGUAAAAAUGAUAAAAUAUGAAAAAAAUACUAUUUAAUUUCGUUGGAAUAUGUUUUAUCAGCCACUAGAAUUUAUAGAUUUUGAAAAAUCUUUUUAAUUACAAUGUUGGUUUUUUUUCGUUGA